rnacentral:tRNA from 1 species
GGCUUGAUGGCUCAGUUGGUAGAGCACUGCACCGGUAUCGAAGAGGUCAUGGGUUCGAAUCCCGUUCAAGCCU